CAAACGGGUGAGUAACGCGUGGGAAUUUGCCCUUGAGUGGGGAAUAACUGCUCGAAAGAGUAGCUAAUACCGCAUACGGUCGUAAGACUAAAGCUUCGAAAGAGGCGCUUAAGGAGAAGCCUGCGUCUGAUUAGCUAGUUGGUGGGGUAAAAGCCUACCAAGGCUGUGAUCAGUAGCUGGUCUGAGAGGAUGGUCAGCCACACUGGGACUGAGAAACGGCCCAG
rnacentral:rRNA from 1 species